AGUAGUAGUAGUAGUAGUAGCAGCAGCAGCAGCUCAAAAUCAUGAAAAGAAAUAAAAUGUACAUUUAUUACAGGGUGUAAAGGCUGUUUUGGCUGAAAGCUAUGAAAAGAUACACAAAGAUCAUUUGAUUGGAAUUGGUAUAGCACCACUUGAGUUCCUCCCAGGAGAAAAUGCAGAUUCCUUGGGCCUCUCCGGCAGAGAAGUAUUUUCUUUAUCAUUUCCUGAAGAACUCUUUCCUGGAAUUACGUUAAAUAUAAAGACGAGCACUGGCAAAGAGUUCAGCGUGAUUGCAGCAUUUGAAAAUGAUGUGGAGAUAACUUUGUACAAACAUGGAGGAUUGUUAAACUUUGUGGCUCGAAAAUUCUUAUAGUAUCUACUCCCCAUGGUAUCUUUCAUGGCUGGUAACUGCAAAGCCUUCUUCUGUGCUGGACCCAGGAAUCAUUGCCAUGGAACUGCAGAUGAUUUCAGUAUACUUCUCUCCUCCAUGGAUGUAAAUGAUAACGAAUCAACGUAGUGACUAAAAUGAAAUCUUGAUUUUAAAUAAUAUACGAAUGGUGCUAUUAACAUUGCUAAAAUCAACGUGUGAAGUGUGUUGUGGAAGAGACCUGUAAGUAUGGGGGGUAUAUUUUAUGAGAACAUUUUGUAAAUAAAGACAGAAUUUGAACUUGUGUUGAAGAUUCAUAUGAAUAGCCGUUCUAAAGCUGUUUGUUUUGUUUUGCACCUUAAAACUGGACUACUGUUUGUUGGUUUAAGAAUAGCAAGUUGAUUUAGAAGAAGCCAGACUAGAUCCUAAAAUUAUGGAAAUGGGUACCUGAUUUAGAAAUGAAUUUUUAAAUGUUUUUCUUUCCAGAAUUGAAUUGGACACAAUUGGCAUUUCCAGUUUGUAAUGUAAGUCAGGUUUGGCCUUAGUCUCAAUACAUCUGCAAGGCAUAGAACCUGCCCCAGAUCACAGUCCCUCUGACCAGCCAAAAUGUCCUCCAUGUCUGCAGAUAAAUGACUGUAAAAUACAGCUGAUUGUGUGGUACCGUGUAUUAGUAAGAAUAUAUUUCCUGUGGUAUAGCCCUGUAAUUUUUUCAGUAACUUGCCACUAUGACCCACUCACAAGCCCAAAUACUGGUGUAUUAAUUUGGACUAGAUUUUGCUCAUUUUACAUGACUGUAACUCCUGUAACCUCAAUUAGGAAUCACUAGCUGACAUUCCACACUCCUUUUAUGACUGCUGGAAACAAUUUGAGUCAAACUCUAGAUUUCCUUUAGACUUAUAAAUUAUCCAUCCAUAGUUAUGGCUAUGGAUAUGCACCCCUAAGGGUUUUGGUUUGAUUUUUGUUUUUUUUAACAGUCCUUUAAGUUGACUCCUUGCUAUUUGGGUCUUUCUUUUAUCUGGGAAACAUCACUGUGUUAAUUUCAUUAUUAUUUGUUUUUUUAAUUAAAAUUGACCCUAAAGAUAAGACAGUUGGUGGUCACUGCUGUUUGUGUGUGUGUGUGUGUCAUGUGUCUGCAGUUGCAUUAUCUUUUACACCACAUCACAUGCUUCCAUGUUUAACAUCAUUUUUAAAAGGCCGGAAAUUAAUUUUAGAAAGCCCUAUGCCUCUUUUUAAUUAAGAAGUUAAACGUAGCAGCAAAAAGUUAAGCGUAGUGAUUUUUUUUAAAUUUUUUUUAUCUGAUCUGUUCUUGUGCAUUGCACAAAAUGAAAAGUACUUGUUUUAUGCUAAACAUAAGGAACUACCAAACCAGUGAGUGAAGAGAGCUGAGGACUUUUCACACAGGAUCAGUCGUACAGUCUUCAAAAUAUUUUUCAAAUAUGUACUUAGUUGGACUAGAGUCUGACAAAACUAGUCUCUUUAGUAAAUGUUUUCUUCGCUACUUUGAAACCAUACUGUGUUCUGGUAGAUGCCAUGUAUUUGUCUGCACAUAUAUGUUAAUCUGUGGAAGCCUGAAUCAGGAAUGGAGAAUUUACAAGUUGAGUAUUAAAAUACUGGUACAUGCUUUAAAAAAAUGGUAAUUCCAGAUGUAUAUAUGGGGGAAAAAAUCUGUCAUAUUUUGAAGGUAUACUUUGCCUGUAGUCUGAGCUGCAGGUGUGGACAUAAAUGUCUGAAAAUGGUAAACUCGCUAUGAAUCAAACAUUAAUUAUUAAUCAAACAUUUCCAAUACAGUAAUGGUAUAGAAAUUGCAUUUCAGGAACAAAUUCAAGGUUCUCUUAAUAUCUCACCUAGAAACAGUGACCUAAACUCUUGAUAAGCAUGGUUUUAAAUGGGGGAAGGAAAUUAAGCACAUGUUCCAAUGUGUGCAUCUUGUGAUUCUGCCUCCAGCCAAAUAAUGCAAAAAUGUGGCACCUGUUUUUGUUACUUUUUUGUUGACUAUUUUUAGUAUUUUUUGUUAUUUUCUAAAAAUUACCAAUAUUUGGAGAAAGAAAGUGAACACAAAAAAAAAGUCAGUAUUUUGGAUGCAGCACAGUUACCAACAGCAGCAUUUUAGUCUCUUAAGAGCAGUGUGCUCCGGCUGUUGUGUGCCUUACUUGUGCUGCUCAUACAGAUGAAGGAAAGGAGAGGCCUCCAGACACCGAACUGCCAUUGUUAGUUACUCCUUGAAGGUUCUCAAGAUGGCAAGUACCUGUUAGUACCUGAUGAGAGAGAGGCACAGCAUCUCCUCACCACACUGCUUGGAUUUUUCACUGGUAUUGUCCUAAAAGCUGUAAAGCUAAGAGCUCAGCCAGAGUCAGUUAUUUGCUUAUAUGGUGACAAUGUAGUGUCCAUCCCUCUUCUCCAUGGUGACAGGAUGAGGAAAAUUGACGUUUUUCAGAGCCUUUUGCCUUUGAGUCUAGAGAGAAGAUAUUAAGGUACUGGAUAAUGAUAAUGUAUUUGAUUUGGGGAGUAAAAAAGGAGAAGGAAGUGAACUUUGGCUCUUUUUCAUUGGGGUCUUUUCCCCUUCAAGGUGACUGUGCUGAUUUGUUUUGUUUUUGUUUGUUUUAUCAAUUUUAUGCAUUAUAUGUGACUGUAAAACCAUAUAUAUCUCUUAAGUAACUACAAAUCAUUGUUAUUUAAAGCCAACAAAAUAGCAUAACAGUUUUAAGUUCAAUAAUGUUAAGUAUUGUAUAGAAAUAUAUUGGAGGUAAAGUUCAGUUAUGAAAUUGUGUAUAUGUUAUUGAUGCUGUAAAUUAUUUUUAAUAAAGAAAAUUGUAUUAUCAC
rnacentral:lncRNA from 1 species